UAAAUGUGUGGAACCAGAAGGUCAAAUAGGA
rnacentral:piRNA from 1 species